rnacentral:rRNA from 1 species
UUGGCGGCCUAUCAUCUUAUCAGAGGAACUCGUAUCUUAAUCCGAUAAUCCCCGUUAUUUUUAUCUUCUCCUUAUAGCCUUUAUAUCGCCGUCUAAAGAUGAAGAUUCAACACUUCAUUCCCAAAAUAAUCUUCCUACGUCAGGUCGAGAUAAAGCCCAUAGACCAGGGAACCGAGUUACUUAUAUUUUUCAUCUACAAAUUAAUCCUCAAAAAAUUUAAUUCCCAGGAUUUGACAGUAAUAUAGAAGUAAUUUUUCAUUAUGAAAAAGCUAAAAAGGUGUACAUAUCGCCCGUCACCCUCGUCCAAAGAUGAGGUAAGUCGUAACAAAGUUAAUGUAUUGGAAAAUGCAUUAAGGG